rnacentral:rRNA from 1 species
CGAGGAACAUGACUUUCGGUGGGGGAUAGCCGGCCCAACGGCCGGGUAAUACCGCGUACGACCACAUGGGGACAUCCCUGAGUGGUGAAAGCAGCAAUGCGCCGAUGGAGUGCCUCGCGGCCUAUCAGCUAGUUGGUGAGGUAACGGCUCACCAAGGCAACGGACGGGGUAGCUGGUCUGAGUAGGUUGGCCACGCCACAGUUGGGACUGAGACACCGGCCCAGACCUCCGUAGGGACGG